rnacentral:rRNA from 1 species
AGAGCAUCGGGUGGAUGCCUUGGCGUCAGAAGGCGAUGAAAGACGUGGUAAGCUGCGAUAAGCCUCGGGGAGGAGCUAAACAUCCUUUGAGCCGGGGAUUUCUGAAUGGGGAAACCCAGCGGGAGUCAUGUCCCGUUAACAUUCACUGAAUUCAUAGGUGACUGUGGCUAACGCAGGGAAGUGAAACAUCUCAGUACCUGCAGGAAGAGAAAUCAAUCGAGAUUCCCCAAGUAGCGGCGAGCGAACGGGGAAGAGCCCAAACCGCGCGGAUUCGUCCGUACGGGGUUGCAGGGCCGGAAUGACCGAUUCACGCGUAACCAGAAGAAGUGAGCAGGAAAGCUCCGCCAGAGAGGGUGACAGUCCCGUAUUCGAAAGUGAGAGUGACGGUUCCGGUACCUGAGUACUGCGAGACACGUGAAAUCUCGUGGGAAUCCGGGAGGACCAUCUCCUAAGGCUAAAUACUAACUGACGACCGAUAGUGUACCAGUACCGUGAGGGAAAGGUGAAAAGAACCCCUGUCAGGGGAGUGAAAGAGAAUCUGAAACCUGGUGCUUACAAGCUGUGGGAGCCGUACUUGUACGGUGACCAUGUGCCUUUUGCAUAAUGAGUCAGCGAGUUAAUCUGUACAGCAAGGUUAAGCGUAAGUGAAGCCGCAGCGAAAGCGAGUCCGAACAGGGCCACAGUUGUGCGGAUUAGACCCGAAACCGGGUGAUCUAUCCAUGAGCAGGUUGAAGCAAGGGUAAAGCCUUGUGGAGGACCGAACCAGUUCUGGCUGAAAACAGUUUGGAUGACUUGUGGAUAGGGGUGAAAGGCCAAUCAAACCCGGUGAUAGCUGGUUCUCCCCGAAAUAUAUUGAGGUAUAGCCUUGCGGAUUGUCUUAUGGAGGUAAAGCUCUGACAGAACUAGGGGUCCUAUCCGACUACCGAAUUCUUUCAAACUCUGAAUACCAUUAAGAUCUACCGCAGGAGUCAGACGGCGGGUGCUAAGGUUCGUCGUCAAAAGGGCAACAGCCCAGACCGACAGCUAAGGCCUCCAAAUGCAUGCUCAGUGGUUAAGGUGGUGGCGUUGUGCAGACACCCAGGACGUUGGCUUAGAAGCAGCCAUCGUUUAAAGAAAGCGUAAUAGCUCACUGGUUCAAUGGCGCUGCGCCGAAAAUGUAACGGGGCUAAGCAUGCUGCCGAAGCUUCGGAUUUGUCUCUGACAACUGGUAGGGGAGCGUUCUCUGCGGGCUGAAGCGGAACCGAAAGGUUUCGUGGACUGCAGAGAAGUGAUUAUGCUGACAUGAGUAACGAUAAAAUAUGUGAAAAACAUAUUCGCCGUAAAUCCAAGGUUUCCUGGGUAAAGGUAAUCUUCCCAGGGUUAGUCGGACCCUAAGGCCAGGCUGAAAGGCGUAGCUGAUGGGAAACGGGUUAAUAAUCCUGUACUUGUGCGAUUGUGCGAAGAAGGGACGCAGGAUGGUAGACAGGCCGGUUUUUGGAAUCCGGUGCAAGUGCGUAGGCGUGCUCCGCAGGCAAAUCCGCGGAGAUGAGCCGAGACACGAGUCCGUGGGCGCAAGCCCUGAAGCUGUUGAGCCACGGCUGCCAAGAAAAGCUUCUAAGUUUAGAUCGCGCGAACCGUACCGCAAACCAACUCAGGUGGAUGGGAUGAAUAAUCCAAGGCGCUCGAGAGAACUCUGGCCAAGGAACUCGGCAAAUUGACCCCGUACCUUCGGAAUAAGGGGUGCUCCCCACGGUGAGACAAAUUCUUGUUCAGCCCCGGGGAGCCGCAGAGAAAUGGUGGUGGCGACUGUUUACUAAAAACAUAGGUCUGUGCGAAGUCCUACAGACGACGUAUACGGACUGACGCCUGCCCGGUGCCGGAAGGUUAAAAGGAGGAGUCAGCGCAAGCGAAGCUCCGAUUUGAAGCCCCGGUAAACGGCGGCCGUAACUAUAACGGUCCUAAGGUAGCGAAAUUCCUUGUCGGGCAAGUUCCGACCUGCACGAAUGGCGUAACGAUCUCCACGCUGUCUCGGCCAGAGACUCGGUGAAAUUGAAGUCGCGGUGAAAAUGCCGUGUACCCGCAGAAAGACGGAAAGACCCUGUGCACCUUUACUAUAGCUUGACAUUGGGUUUUGAACCUGCAUGUGUAGGAUAGGUGGGAGGCUGUGAAAGCUGUACGCCAGUAUGGCCGGAGCCACCCGUGAAAUACCACCCUUGUUUGUUCAGGACCCUAACUCGCAGCUGUAAUCCAGCGCGAAGACAGUGUCUGGUGGGUAGUUUGACUGGGGCGGUCGCCUCCUAAAGAGUAACGGAGGCAUGCAAAGGUUCCCUCAGCCUGAUCGGAAACCAGGCGCUGA